rnacentral:rRNA from 1 species
GGCUCAGGAUGAACGCUAGCUACAGGCUUAACACAUGCAAGUCGAGGGGCAGCAGGAUCUUAGCUGCUAAGAUUGCUGGCGACCGGCGCACGGGUGAGUAACGCGUAUCCAACCUUCCCCUUAGUAGGGCAUAGCCCGAUGAAAAUCGGAUUAAUACCCUAUGUUCUUCAUAGAUGACAUCUGACAUGAAGCAAAGAUUUAUCGCUAAGGGAUGGGGAUGCGUCCGAUUAGGUAGUCGGCGGGGUAACGGCCCACCGAGCCAUCGAUCGGUAGGGGUUCUGAGAGGAAGGUCCCCCACAUUGGAACUGAGACACGGUCCAAACUCCUACGGGAGGCAGCAGUGAGGAAUAUUGGUCAAUGGGCGAGAGCCUGAACCAGCCAAGUAGCGUGCAAGGAUGACGGCCCUAUGGGUUGUAAACUGCUUUUAUGCGGGGAUAAAGUGUGCCACGUGUGGCGUUUUGUAGGUACCGCAUGAAUAAGGACCGGCUAAUUCCGUGCCAGCAGCCGC